GAUGAACGCUGGCGGCGUGCCUAAUACAUGCAAGUCGAGCGAAUGGAUUAAGAGCUUGCUCUUAUGAAGUUAGCGGCGGACGGGUGAGUAACACGUGGGUAACCUGCCCAUAAGACUGGGAUAACUCCGGGAAACCGGGGCUAAUACCGGAUAACAUUUUGAACCGCAUGGUUCGAAUUUGAAAGGCGGCUUCGGCUGUCACUUAUGCAGUGACCCGCGUCGGAUUAGCUAGUUGGUGAGGUAACGGCUCACCAAGGCAACGAUGCGUAGCCGACCUGAGAGGGUGAUCGGCCACACUGGGACUGAGACACGGCCCAGACUCCUACGGGAGGCAGCAGUAGGGAAUCUUCCGCAAUGGACGAAAGUCUGACGGAGCAACGCCGCGUGAGUGAUGAAGGCUUUCGGGUCGUAAAACUCUGUUGUUAGGGAAGAACAAGUGCUAGUUGAAUAAGCUGGCACCUUGACGGUACCUAACCAGAAAGCCACGGCUAACUACGUGCCAGCCGCCGCGGUAA
rnacentral:rRNA from 1 species